GACUACAGGGGUAUCUAAGCCGGUUCGCUCCCCACGCUUUCGUGCCUUAGCGUCAGAAAUGGUCCAGUAACCUGCCUACGCCAUUGGUGUUCCUUCUCAUAUCUACGGAUAUUACCCCUACUUGAGAAAUUCCAGUUACCUCUACCAUUCUCGAGUUAGCCAGUUUGAAUAAUAGUCUGUAUGGUUGAGCCACCAGGUUUCACUAUUCACUUAACUAACCGCCUACGCAACUCUUUACGCCCAGUCACUCCGGAUAAUGCUCGGAUCCUACGUAUGACCGCGGCUGCUGGCACGUAGUUAGCCGAUCCUUAUUCAUAAGUUACCGUCAUAUUCCUCACUUAUAAAAGCAGUUUACAACCCGAAGGCCUUCAUCCUGCACGCGGCGUUGCUCCAUCAGGGUUGCCCCCAUUGUGCAAGAUUCCUCACUGCAGCCCCCCGUAGG
rnacentral:rRNA from 1 species